rnacentral:rRNA from 1 species
AUUGAACGCUGGCGGCAGGCCUAACACAUGCAAGUCGAGCGAGCGGCGGACGGGUGAGUAAUGUCUGGGAAACUGCCGGAUGGAGGGGGAUCACUCCUGGAAACGGUAGCUAAUACCGCAUAUCAUCAGCUGUGUCCAGAUGGGAUUAGCUAGUAGGUGGGGUAAUGCCUCACCUAGGGGGCGAUCCCUAGCGGUGCUGAGAGGAUGACCAGCCACACUGGAACUGAGACAAGGUCCAAACUCCUACGGGAGGCAGCAGUGGGGAAUAUUGGCAAAUGGGGGGAACCCUGGUUCAGCCAUGCCGCGGGUGGGAAGAAGGCCUUAUGGUGGUAAAGCAGUUUAAGCGAGGAGGCGUUACUCGCAGAAUAAGCACCGGCUAACUCUGUGCCAGCAGCCGCGGUAAUAC